GGUCAUUCGGUGCUUGCCCUGUUUGAGUGGUGAUACCCCAGAUAGCUAUGCCAUGGAGCCCAUCCGAAUAAUGAAAGACUAUGGGAAAGACUUUGGUUCCAUGGCAAUUGAACUGUAUGUGUGUGAUCUGAACGCCAUUCAGUUAUAAUGUGCGCUCAGAUCUGAGCUAUCUGGGGAUAUGUUGAAUGUACCUGUUUUAUGCAAUGG